rnacentral:rRNA from 1 species
GACGAACGCUGGCGGCGUGCUUAACACAUGCAAGUCGAACGGAAAGGCCCUGCUUUUGUGGGGUGCUCGAGUGGCGAACGGGUGAGUAACACGUGAGUAACCUGCCCUUGACUUUGGGAUAACUUCAGGAAACUGGGGCUAAUACCGGAUAGGAGCUCCUGCUGCAUGGUGGGGGUUGGAAAGUUUCGGCGGUUGGGGAUGGACUCGCGGCUUAUCAGCUUGUUGGUGGGGUAGUGGCUUACCAAGGCUUUGACGGGUAGCCGGCCUGAGAGGGUGACCGGCCACAUUGGGCCUGAGAGAGGGCCCAGACUCCUAUGGGAGGCAGCAGUGGGGAAUAUUGCACAAUGGGCGGAAGCCAGAGGCAGCAACGCCGCGUGCGGGAUGACGGCCUUCGAGGUGUAAACCGCUUUCGCCUGUGACGAAGCGUGAGUGACGGUAAUGGGUAAAGAAGCACCGGCUAACUACGUG